rnacentral:rRNA from 1 species
GACGAACGCUGGCGGCGUGCCUAAUACAUGCAAGUAGAACGCACAGUUUAUACCGUAGCUUGCUACACCAUAGACUGUGAGUUGCGAACGGGUGAGUAACGCGUAGGUAACCUGCCUGGUAGCGGGGGAUAACUAUUGGAAACGAUAGCUAAUACCGCAUAAUAUUGAUUAUUGCAUGAUAAUUGAUUGAAAGAUGCUAUUGCAUCACUACCAGAUGGACCUGCGUUGUAUUAGCUAGUAGGUGAGGUAACGGCUCACCUAGGCGACGAUACAUAGCCGACCUGGGAGGGUGAUCGGCCCAACUGGGACUGGGACCCGGCCCAGACUCCUACGGGAGGCAGCAGUAGGGAAUCUUCGGCAAUGGACGGAAGUCUGACCGAGCAACGCCGCGUGAGUGAAGAAGGUUUUCGGAUCGGAAAGCUCUGUUGUAAGAGAAGAACGGGUGUGAGAGUGGAAAGUUCACACUGUGACGGUAUCUUACCAGAAAGGGACGGCUAACUACGUG